CAUAUCAAUAAGCGGAGGAAAAGAAACUAACAAGGAUUCCCCUAGUAACUGCGAGUGAAGCGGGAAAAGCUCAAAUUUAAAAUCUGGCGGUCUUUGGCCGUCCGAGUUGUAGUCUGGAGAAGUGCUUUCCGCGCUGGACCGUGUACAAGUCUCUUGGAACAGAGCGUCAUAGAGGGUGAGAAUCCCGUCUUUGACACGGACUACCAGUGCUUUGUGAUGCGCUCUCAAAGAGUCGAGUUGUUUGGGAAUGCAGCUCAAAAUGGGUGGUGAAUUCCAUCUAAAGCUAAAUAUUGGCGAGAGACCGAUAGCGAACAAGUACCGUGAGGGAAAGAUGAAAAGCACUUUGGAAAGAGAGUUAAACAGUACGUGAAAUUGCUGAAAGGGAAACGCUUGAAGUCAGUCGCGUCGUCCGGAACUCAGCCUUGCUUCGGCUUGGUGCACUUUCCGGAUGACGGGCCAGCAUCGAUUUUGACCGCCGGAAAAGGGUAGGAGAAAUGUGGCACCUUCGGGUGUGUUAUAGUCUCCUAUCGCAUACGGCGGUUGGGAUCGAGGAACGCAGCGCGCCUUAUGGCUGGGGUUCGCCCACAUUCGCGCUUAGGAUGCUGGCAUAAUGGCUUUAAACGACCCGUCUUGAAACACGGACCAAGGAGUCUAACAUACCUGCGAGUGUUUGGGUGGAAAACCCGAGCGCGUAAUGAAAGUGAAAGUUGAGACCUCUGUCGUGGAGGGCAUCGACGCCCGGACCUGACGUUCUCUGACGGAUCCGCGGUAGAGCAUGUAUGUUGGGACCCGAAAGAUGGUGAACUAUGCCUGAAUAGGGUGAAGCCAGAGGAAACUCUGGUGGAGGCUCGUAGCGAUUCUGACGUGCAAAUCGAUCGUCAAAUUUGGGUAUAGGGGCGAAAGACUAAUCGAACCAUCUAGUAGCUGGUUCCUG
rnacentral:rRNA from 1 species